rnacentral:rRNA from 1 species
AUUGAACGCUGGCGGCAGGCCUAACACAUGCAAGUCGAGCGGAGCGGCGGACGGGUGAGUAAUGCAUAGGAAUCUGCCUGGUAGCGGGGGAUAACGUCCGGAAACGGGCGCUAAUACCGCAUACUAUCAGAUGAGCCUAGGCCGGUUUAGCUAGUUGGGGGGGUAAAGGCCUACCACGGCGACGAUCCGUAGCUGGUCUGAGAGGAUGAUCAGUCACACUGGAACUGAGAAAAGGUCCAGACUCCUACGGGAGGCAGCAGUGGGGAAUAUUGGACAAUGGGCGAAAGCCUGAUGCAGCCAUGCCGAGUGUAUGAAGAAGGCCUUCGGGGUGUAAAGUACUUUCAGCGGGGAGGAGUUACCCGCAGAAGAAGCACCGGCUAACUCCGUGCCAGCAGCCGCGGUAAUUC